UCCCUGGCAGUCCAGUAGUUAGGACUCCACACUUUUACUGCUGAGAGUACAGGUUCAAUCCCUGGUCAGGGAA
rnacentral:tRNA from 1 species